GGGGACUGAACCCAGGGCCUUGCGCUUCCUAGUUUGCGGCCUUUGGGCAAUACAGAGAGAACCUGCCUCAAAAAUCGGAGCAAAUCAGAGCAAGCAAACAGCAACAAUGCAGGCCCGCAAAAAAGCGUGUGUAAAAUUACCUUCAGCUAUGUUCACAGAGCAAUCUCAGGGCCAAGCGAAAUGGAAUAAAGGACUCGGACUCUUUCCGUAUGCCCUGUGCCCACAUAGACGGAGACUCCACGAUGGCCAGCAUAUCCAAGGAGGCGGCUCCUCUAUUAGACUUGAAGGUCCUGCACGGGCUCGUCCUUCCCAGUGAAGUCGCCAAUGUGCAGCAGGCCUGUUGCAGGUGAUGGAGUCUGCACUGCCUUUGCAAUUCCCCCUCAAAGCUCUUCCGUGUCCCGAAUGUCCCUUGAGCACCUGUGCUGUAACGCAGAGAGGGUCACACCGUACUGGACCUGCACUGCCAAGGCACAUCUGAUGGAUGUUUUGUGACUGCCCAGCUCCUCUCCACACUGGGACCUUUGAGUAUGUGUCUGCUUGGCAAGUCUGGUGCUUUUCAAGGUCCUAUCUCGGUAUUUAUAUAAUGAUUAUGGAGGAAACCAGUAAUAGAGACAGGAGAAUGCUCUGGGAGGACCCAAAGGUAGGACUCAACACAGUCUAUGAAUUUCAAAGAGCAGGCUUGCAUUGGCUAAAGCAGUAGAGAGUGAUGAGCUGGCUGACUUUGGGGUACCUCUAAAGUCAUAUCAGGGGGCCUUCUGCUCCGCCUGUGUAAGAUUAGGGUGCAUCCAGAGAUGGACAUCCUGGAUCCCCUCGGUGUUUC
rnacentral:sRNA from 1 species